AGAGUGUAACAGAAAGAUAUGACAGAUUUGUGUAAGAUUUACACGUAAAUCAUACACAAAUCUGACAUAUCUUUCUGUUACACCCU
rnacentral:pre_miRNA from 14 species